GAAAAGCACAAUAACCUCCCCAGGGAUGAGAAGAAUGAGCAGUGGAGGGCAGCAGCCACUUAACCCCCACCAGCUGGGUUCCUUCAGCUGGCUGCUGCUGCUUUAGCUCAGGGAAAGGGCUCCAGUGAGAAGUAACACCUGCUUCCACCUCCGUGCACACUCACUUGAAAGCACAGCUCUCACAAUAUUAAGUACUAUUUUUACCAGGGCUCUCAGAGCUGAUGAAGCACAGCGCUGUGGAAGUGUCACAGCUGGAUGAUCUGAGCAGGGCUUUGCAGCCUGCAUGGUAUGCGAAUGAAUUGCACUGGAGAAGGAGGAGGAGGGUGUUGCUUCUGUAGCUCUGUGGAGUAAUAUGAAGAACUGCAUGAGAGACCGCAGCACCACAGCAGGAAACAGAAGGGACACAUUUGUCCAGGAGUCAACCAUAAGUUCAGCUGCACGUGUUUUCCCACAGCUGAGAGGAAGGGAAAAGUGUGGGAUUCCUUUUUUCAGCUGACCCUCAGUUUCAAGUAUAGGUAAAGUUUUGAGAAGGGCAAAUAAAUAAGUAAACGUGCAUCUUCCUUAAAGGAGGAAUAUUUGUGUUAGUUCCUGCUCGGGUAGAAGCAAUUGUGCUGUGGGAAGUCCAGUAUCUGCAGCAGCUGUUCUUUGUUCCAGCAGUUGAGCUGACUGCUGAAAUUUCUUAAGGAAAGGAAAAAAAGAAGUAUUUAUUGCGAGUGGAGCUAGGAAUUAGAGGGGGAAGCUUCUGCUGUAAAUCCAUUUGAUGUAGAACAGCAUCAUCCAGCCAGGUUGGUCAGCACAGAAAGGCACAGCUGAAAAAUGACUUGCAUUUCAUUUCUCUGUGCUUAUUUUAGCAAUACGGAAAUAGGUUGGUGACGGUCAAACUUCUUUCACAUAUACACACGCGUGCAUUACCCUACAGAAAAGGGAACACAGUGCUUGCAGGUUGCCUUUCCCCCUCUACCAGCCAGCAUACACCGGCUCUGUGUGCUCCAUCACUCCAUACGUUGUGUGCUGCUCUGAUCCUUGUGGUAGCAGCAGGGACUUCAAAGACUUUGUGCUGUGUUCUUGCCUUCUUCUCAGAAUUAGUACAAAGAUUAUAAGAAUUGCGCCUCUGAGAAGAGGGCCAGGAGGACGAUCACCAGUGGCGUCAGCUGGCAGGAGCUGCCCACCUUGUACAGGAAGAUCUCCAUGCAGUACUGGGGCUCAGUGCUGCCCACAGGGCAGAAGGCAUCAGGAGGGCACUUGAUUUCACAGGGCAGUAGUGGUUCUCUGGACACAGGUCACAGCUCUCCUGGCCCUGCUGCAGUUGGUAUUCCCCUGGCUCGCAGGGCUUGCAGGUGUCAUCACCCAGACCUUUGAACGUACCUAAAUAGCAAA
rnacentral:lncRNA from 7 species